UCGCCACUAAUUUGUCCGCGUUGCCAGA
rnacentral:sRNA from 1 species